ACAAUCUACAAGAAAUGAACUUCAUAACCCUGUUUGAUUUUUUUUAGGACUGCUUAUUCAGAACCACCACUAAAUCGUAAUUAUUCAUAGUUGAACAAAUGGUGGCACCGAUACAGCUGACAAAAUUUCCAGUGACUGUAUGUAGAGAUUAUCUGUAUUCUUUUGCCGAAUUUGUCAUUUUUCUUUCACAAACGUGUAACCUUUAGAGCCAUGCUUUACGGACGGGCGAGGUUCGCUCGGUACAAUUAUAAGCUACUCUGUAUUAGUUACCUUCAGGCCUUUAUAGCUACAGCUAAACAUACACACAAUGGCAUUUCGCUUGUUGACAACAGACGAUCAAAUUUCCGUCAUUCACGGAAAGAGACGAAUAACUAUAUUUAGCUUAGGUGCCUUGGCAAAAAUCAACGGAUAAGAGGUUGUUUGAAUACACACAUAAAAUUAACACGCCAUCACAAUAUACUUGUAAAUUUAAUUCAUUUUAUGAUGUUUCCGAUAAGACUUGGCGAAAUUAAAAUGGUGUAUCGUGUAUAUAUUUCAAUAAGGUGGCUCACUACACCCUGAAAUAGUUUCUCAAAUCAGUACGAAUUGAUAUAAUCAUGAAAGAUAUGAUGAUAUAUAAUAAGUACAUGUAUAUAUGCCAAAAAGGCAGAAAAUACGCAAAUUUGAAUAAAAAUAUGAUUUUCAAAACAAACGAAAAAUAUUUCAACACAUAUGAACAAAAGACUCUGGGGAAUUUGAACUCGAGAUCUGCGGUUCACCAACCCAAUGCUUUAACCACUGAGCUACGAUGAUAGACAAACAAAUCGAUCGAUACAAAUAAUUUCACAAAACAUUUAAAUCGCCAUCUUGUUAUGUAUAUGUGAUAAAGAUUAAAAGCUUUAGUCUAGUGAGCUACCUUAAAAACUUAAAUAUUUCACGGGGUGCCCUUAAAACGAAUUUUAGGUGAAGACAACACGAUAGUUCCACUGUGACUGCGACAUUUUUCCAGAGAACUAUGGGUAAUCCCCAUCAUUUCUCAGUUGAAGAGCAAAUCACGUGACUCACAUGUGUAAUCAAUGGAGCGAGCUCGUGGAGACUCGAGCCUCUCUUGCUAUUACCCCUUAAUGGUCCAUGAUUAUGACCUGUGGGUCGGUAGUCAGGAUAUGUUGCUCCUUUUAGUCAGUGCAUUGUUCCGGUUCAGUCAAAACAAAACCAUUCGUUGAAAGAAAGGAUUUGAUCGACAUGGAAUAGGUUACCUCUCUACCACUCAGCCUCCAGAAUAGAUACCAGAUUGUUGCCACGUAACAUUGACGACCACACAGUUCAGAUUUAAUGCAAAUGUGUGGUGUUGGUAUUCUGUAAAGCUGCUCUGCAUCAUUUCCCAAUUUCACCACAGAAAUUUUAUCAACAACUUUGUACAUGCAGAUCCAUAUAAUUAAUGUGAAAUGAAUUAGAAAUGAAUUCAAUAUGAGAUCUAACUCCUGUUAUUUUGAGGAAUUACUGGGCGUCUGUCAGCAAUUUAAAAUCGGAUGUCUUUGCAUCUAGUUAACAUAAAAAUUCGAACUAUCGGAUUUAAAACAAUGGGAUGAAUUGCAUUGUAACCGAUGUUUUGAACUUUCCUUUGAUAAUGGCAUCAAACAACUAGGAAUGCAAAUGUAGCGCUAUUUAAAUCACAUUGACAUUAGAAACAUUUGCAAUCCGCCAAAGUUUUUGAAUGUUACAUUUAUAAAAACUCACACAUUUGACUUUGGCUAUUGUCGUUUAUUUUGCUUUGUUUUGUGUUUUUUUU